rnacentral:rRNA from 1 species
CCUACGGGAGGCAGCAGUGGGGGAUAUUGCACAAUGGGGGGAACCCUGAUGCAGCGACGCAGCGUGGGUGAAGAAGCGCCUCGGCGCGUAAAGCCCUGUCAGCAGGGAAGAAAAUGACGGUACCUGAAGGAGAAGCCCCGGCUCACUACGUACCCGCAGCCGCGGUAAUACGUAGUGGGCAAGCGUUAUCCGGAUUUACUGGGUGUAAAGGGGGCGCAGACGGCGAUGAAAGCCAGGAGUGAAAGCCCGGGGCCCCACCCCGGGACUGCUCUUGGAACUGCGUGGCUGGAGUGCAGGAGGGGCAGGCGGAAUUCCUGGUGUAGCGGUGAAAUGCGUAGAUAUCAGGAGGAACACCGGUGGCGAAGGCGGUCUGCUGGACUGCAACUGACGUUGAGGCCCGAAAGCGUGGUGAGCAAACAGGAUUAGAUACCCCAGUAGUC